UACGGAGGGGCUAGCGUUGUUCGGAAUUACUGGGCGUAAAGCGCACGUAGGCGGACUGUUAAGUCGGGGGUGAAAUCCUGGGGCUCAACCUCAGAAUUGCCUCCGAUACUGGCAGUCUCGAGUGCGGGAGAGGUGAGUGGAAUUCCCAGUGUAGAGGUGAAAUGCGCAGAUAUCAGGAAGAACACCCGUGGCGAAGGCGGCUCUCUGGAACGCAA
rnacentral:rRNA from 1 species